UGAUGUUGGCAACAGCAAAGCUAUCCCUUCCCAAAUCUGUCUUCUGUCACCUGCCCUCGGUGAUUAGCAAGGCCUUCUGAUGUCACCAAAAGCGGAGUGAGGGCAGGAAGGGGUGGGAGUGGGAAACAGAGCCAUAGAAACUCAGACCAGGUUUCCAAAGGGACCCUGCCAACCCUAUUCUGGGUUUACGGUAAGUAGUGGUUGUCAUGAUUCUGGCAAGCACGUGUCCUGUGUUUCAUACAACAGUCCCGAUUUCAAAUACUUCUCCUGGUCGUUGAUGUAAGCACACUUGGCCUGGUCACACUGUGGGUCCUGAUUUUUUUUUUUUUUUUAGAGGAGUACUGGAAAUAUGCUCAUCUUAUCUUUAGGGCUGAGGUCUCAUAAACGGUCCUACUCCUGCCACCCUUUGGCAAAUUUCCUCACGGCUGUCACUGCCCACCGGGACCUGGACGGCCACAGGUUGCCACGAGGGUUGGGGCUUGGGAAGGGAGCUGGAGGCACAAAGAGUUGGCGACCUUGAACUACACACUGGCAGUCCAUACAGCACACUCGCUUUGGGCUAGUAAACACGAAGUGGAUGUUAAUUUGUUGGGGGGAAGGGAUCCCCCCUUCGUUUGCCCAUCUGGGCAGGUCACAAAUCUUACUGCGACCGAUGAAACACCAUUAGCACGACCUUACUAAAGCCCACGUGCAAGGAGCCAGGGAGUCAACGGUCAGAAGCGUCUCCACUGAGGCCCAGGGGAUCUCACCAGGAGGUGAGAGUGACCUCUGACAAACUCCACAGGCCCUCGAGGGUUUGUCAGUGGUGCAGAGAAAGGCCAACAUUCCUGCUGACCGUGCAACGCAGUCCGUGUCCCUCUACGGGAACCUUGUCACCACAACACAGCGCCCUCAGGUCCUGCCUCAUCCUCAGUUUGGUUCCGGGUACUGCAAAUGGGGGACCAAAGGCCAGCUCCAGGAGAGGUGGUGCUGGCAGAGUGGGGCGGGGGCAGGGGGAGCCAAAGCGAGAGGAGGAAGAGGAGGAAGAGGGCAGAGGAAGGGCGCCAGGGCGAGGGCCCAAAACCUAGAGGACCCGCCGACCGCAGCCUCAGGGUCAGGAUGGGUGCAGGCCGGGGGGGGCGCGAGGCCAGGGUCAGCCAGGCCUCUCGGGCUUGGAAGCCACACCCGCACGUCUCUGCAGCGCAAAGGAAGGAGAGCGGCAAAGGAGGCUGCCCCUGCGUGAACUGUUUCCAUCUCUCUGAGGUCCAUCGCCACCCUCUUCCGCCUCACGUUGUCUCCUUCCUGGGACCCUCUUGCCUGCCUGCCUCCUGUGCGUCCAUGGCAUCGGCGUCCGCCCCCCCGCCCCCCUGCAUCUCUUCCUUUCUUCUUUCCCCAUCUGGCAGUUCCCCAAAGUACUUUCUGUGCCAUGGAGUCUCCAGUCACCACUUCUUGUUGCCCUGAGGGCAGGUGUGCCAGGGCGCCUGCCUUCACAGCUGCUCCUGGAGGUGACGCACAUCCUGCCUCUUGGCCUCACCUUUGCUGUGGCCGCCAUGCCCUGGGCAGCAGGGCCUCCCCAGAGGAGAGCUUGUUCUGGGGAUUACAGGUGGCUUUGGCAGAACUCCAUCUUCUGAGUCGCACUGUUCUCUGGCGCGGGGCGGGGGGGGUCAGGCCUUCCCCUUGGGUAGGAGUAAGGUUUGCAGCUCCACAGCCUAGGGCCUCCAGCCAUCCCCUCCUCAAUUUCACAGUGUAGACGCCAUGGCCUACAUGGGAUGUGGGUCCUGCUGAGGGCCCACGCCUUUGGCUGCCUGGCCUAAGUGACAUCAUAACAAAAAGCAGAACAUUCCCAACUGUUGUUCUUUUUUUGAAAAAUAUAUUGCAGGAGUUCCCUUGUGGCUCAGUGGGUUAAGGAUCUGGCAUUGUUACAGCUGCAGAGCAUGUUCGAUUUCUGGCCUGGAAACUUGUGCAUGCUGCGGGUAUGGCCAAGAAAAAAGAUACCUAUCUAUGCCUAUAUCUAUAGAGCAAAGGUGAAAAGCCUCUAAAAAAACAAUUUCUGAAAUUUCUCCUCCCUGCACUUGACCUCUGUGGUAAGGGGUGGGAGAUACAGAUCCGUCUAGUUUUGCUGCUCCAUUACAUUGACAGAAUAGUUUCAUUAAAUGUUACUUUAGAUGCAUUUAGAGUAAAGAGAACCAGCUCUAACUCUGUAGCCUUCUCUUAUUACUAGAGAAAGAACAUUCGAGGGAAAGAUUCCUUGAAAGCAGAUUUUCAUACCAAUGGGAGCACAUGAGUCCAAAAUGGAAGAACUUGAUAUAUCCCAAACUUUGACCACCAGAGUCACUGACCUGUUUUGUGGGACUAUGGAGUGGAGCCUGGUCCUACAGCAUUAGGAACAAAGGCAGGGAGGGCAAUUAGACGGGGGGUUCACUUGGGUCCAAGGAUCCAGCUGGCUGUUCUAGCACCGCCCCCAAAGGGUAGGGAAGUGCCACUAGAUGGGCCCAACUCUAGGGCUCUUAUUCAGCAGCCCCAUUGAGGUCCUGUCUCCAUCUGAGGGGAGAUAGGAAGUGGGGGGUGAGGAGGGAGGGGGAAAGUCCCCGACAGCUGCACUUUGCAACUGGAGAAUAAAGCGCCAAGGCUUUGAUCUUUUCUUCCUGUCCCUUCACGUUUAAUCUUGCUUUUCUAAUUUCCUUCUUCAUUGCAUAUUUGACAAACCCAGCUACUUCAGAAUCUAGGGAAUCUUGUAAAUAAUGUGUUAUCUUUCCUCCUCCAAACCCAAGAGGCUUGGGCUCACCUGACCUCUGUGGUUUGCAUAAAACCAUCGGGGGCUCCAGAGGAAUAUCUACCUUUGCAAAAGUUGUAUCAUCGCUGAACCCCAUGCUGCAAGGAGCAGCUGAAAUCAUCUAGUCCAGCCUCAUCAUUUUCUACAUGAGGAAACUGCUGUCCAGGGAGGUUGGGAGGCCCAUGAAAUAGCACAGGCUGAGACCCAGGACUUGCAACUCUCAAUCCAGGUUUUUUAGUAGCAUCAUCCUUCAAGCGGUUUUGAAUCCAUGCCUGAUUAUUGGGAAAUAAUGUAAAGGGCCACAGUCACGCAAUCAACUUUCAGAGAAUAUAUAGUCUAUCUCUGUGGACCUGCUCCUUCCACGUAGGAUCCAAAGAGAAAUAUAGGAAUACACUAAAGUCAGGUUAGUGAUUCAUGAAAACCCAGCCAAAUCCCCAUGGCUGCUUUUACACAAAACCUCAACAAGUAAGAAGUUUCAUCUCUGGCCAAAAGUUCCUACUGUCACCCUUCUAGAGGUAAAGCCACAGCAGACUGUCCGGCCACCCAAAGUCCACGGUCACUCUUAACUGCACAACCACCAGCAAGGCAAUGGUGCCACCGAGGAAGGUAUCCCUGGCUCUGACAUCAGCUCUGCUGCCACUGGCUCCCCCAGCUCCCCCACCUUCCCUGCAUAGCUGUUCCCAUCUGACUCUCUGCCCCGGAGGGAGGAAACGGAGGCUUGCUCACUCUCUGUGGGCCUGCGACAAAGAGGGAGCUGAGACCAUGCUCUGCAGGGAUGACCUUGUUCUGGGAAGGUCUGGUGCCACCCCAGGUCUUCCUCCCUUUUCCCUGGGUCUGUCGACUCACCCCUUUCUCAGGUCCACCUUCCCUGCAGGUAUACAUCCUGUAAUUGCCCGUGCCAGGUAGUGGUGGGCAGGUGACUUUAUCCACACUAAACUCCUGGCACCUCAUCUCUCAAACCCUCCCCUAAGGAGAAGGGCAUCAGCCUAUGAGCUUCAAAGACUCAAGUUACCCAAGAGCAAAUAUCCUGGUCUUCACAGCUAACUCACCUAGGCCCCUUCUUGAGUUAGAGCAGCAUCGAAACUUGGGACUUCUGGUCUUAACCACCCCAUGUCUAGCCUUAGGAGACAGUUGACUCUCUAUAGGCAGCUGUAACUAUAUAGAGCCACAUACAUUAUGGGCUGAUAGACAUAUAUUCAUACUAGAAACCAAAUUACUUCUAUUUAUUCAUCCUGUCAGUACUUUAUUUACUUAUUCAUUCCGUCAUUCAACAAACAUUUACAGGCCACAUGAAUGUCUCCUUAAAGCCUUCCAUGAGCAACCCAAGAACCCUCCAACCUCCAGGUCAUGUCAUCACAUCACCCUUUUAUUUCCUUCACAGCAUUUACUGUAAUCUUUUGAUUUUUAUCACCUUACUGCUCAGGAUAUUGUCUCUCUCUCGCAACUAGUAAACUCCCUGAGGGUAAAGGUUCUUGCCUGCCUUGUACACAGCUGUAUCCUGGCACCUAUGUUUCCCCCUCUGAUACCUAAAGCUUAGCACAGUGCCUAGAUAUAGGAGACAAUCAAACAUCACUUGAAGACUGUGCAGCAGCUUAAAGAAUGGGGAAAGCUCAGCAUGUACCACCAUGAGAGCUUUCCAAGUCAGGCUGCUGCUUCACAAAAGCAGAGACAUCUGCCUCAUCUGAUUUCAUUUCAGUUUUACAUAAAUAUUCUGAACAAGACUAUAGAUUUUCAUAGAAACAGAUACUUAUGCAAAUGCAUGAACAGGAUCUGGAAGAGGAGGGAACAUUUGUAAACUCAUUCUACGCAGUCAUAGAUACCAAAGCCAGCCAAAGGUAAUAUAAAAAACUAGAGACCAAUAUCCCUGAUGAAUUUUGAUGCAAAAAUCCUCAACAAAAUACACAAAGCAAAUUCAACAGCACAUUAACAGGAUGACAUGCUAUGGUCAAGUUGGAUUGAUACCUGGAAUGCACGGAUAGUUCAACAUGUGAAACUCAACCAAUGUGGUAGAAAAUUGGCAGAAGGCUGUAAACCAGCUAUAAUGGAAAAAAAUAAAACUCACUUACAAAAAAAGAAAAUCAACCAAUGUAAUACACCACAUUAACAGAACGAAGGACAAAAAUCACAUGAUCAUCUCAGUUGAUACAGAAAGAGCAUGCGACAAAACUCCAUACCCUUUCAUAGUAAAAACAAUCAACAAUCUAGGAACCGAAGGAAACUACCUCAAUAUGAUAAAGGCUAUAGCUAACAUCACACUCAACAGUAAAAAAA
rnacentral:lncRNA from 1 species